rnacentral:rRNA from 1 species
AUUGAACGCUGGCGGCAGGCCUAACACAUGCCAGUCGAGCGGAUGAAGGGAGCUUGCUCCUGGAUUCAGCGGCGGACGGGUGAGUAAUGCCUAGGAAUCUGCCUGGUAGUGGGGGAUAACGUCCGGAAACGGGCGCUAAUACCGCAUACGUCCUGAGGGAGAAAGUGGGGGAUCUUCGGACCUCACGCUAUCAGAUGAGCCUAGGUCGGAUUAGCUAGUUGGUGGGGUAAAGGCCUACCAAGGCGACGAUCCGUAACUGGUCUGAGAGGAUGAUCAGUCACACUGGAACUGAGACACGGUCCAGACUCCUACGGGAGGCAGCAGUGGGGAAUAUUGGACAAUGGGCGAAAGCCUGAUCCAGCCAUGCCGCGUGUGUGAAGAAGAUCUUCGGAUUGUAAAGCACUUUAAGUUGGGAGGAAGGGCAGUAAGUUAAUACCUUGCUGUUUUGACGUUACCAACAGAAUAAGCACCGGCUAACUUCGUG